CGUAAUGAUGAGAGUAAUUUGCGAUUGAUUCCGUUCAGGUGGCCCCCUUUCGCCGGGGCGGCUAUAUCUGUCGGACACGUGAUAGUCAAUUCUUACAUAUUCUGAAC
rnacentral:snoRNA from 1 species